rnacentral:rRNA from 1 species
UGACCUCGGAUCAGGUAGGAAUACCCGCUGAACUUAAGCAUAUCAAUAAGCGGAGGAAAAGAAACCAACAGGGAUUGCCCCAGUAACGGCGAGUGAAGCGGCAACAGCUCAAAUUUGAAAUCUGGCCCCUCGGGCCCGAGUUGUAAUUUGUAGAGGAUGCUUUUGGCAAGGUGCCGCCCGAGUUCCCUGGAACGGGACGCCGCAGAGGGUGAGAGCCCCGUCUGGCUGGCCGCCGAGCCUCUGUAAAGCUCCUUCGACGAGUCGAGUAGUUUGGGAAUGCUGCUCAAAAUGGGAGGUAUAUGUCUUCUAAAGCUAAAUAUUGGCCAGAGACCGAUAGCGCACAAGUAGAGUGAUCGAAAGAUGAAAAGCACUUUGAAAAGAGGGUUAAACAGUACGUGAAAUUGUUGAAAGGGAAGCGCUCAUGACCAGACUUGGGCUUGGCGGAUCAUCCGGCGUUCUCGCCGGUGCACUUCGCCUCGCCCAGGCCAGCAUCAGUUCGCGCCGGGGGACAAAAGCUUCGGGAAUGUGGCUCCUCCGGGAGUGUUAUAGCCCGUUGCAUAAUACCCUGGUGCGGACUGAGGUUCGCGCAUCUGCAAGGAUGCUGGCGUAAUGGUCAUCAGCGACCCGUCUUGAAACACGGACCAAGGAGUCGUCUUCGUAUGCGAGUGUUCGGGUGUCAAACCCCUACGCGUAAUGAAAGUGAACGCAGGUGAGAGCUUCGGCGCAUCAUCGACCGAUCCUGAUGUUCUCGGAUGGAUUUGAGUAAGAGCAUACGGGGCCGGACCCGAAAGAAGGUGAACUAUGCCUGUAUAGGGUGAAGCCAGAGGAAACUCUGGUGGAGGCUCGCAGCGGUUCUGACGUGCAAAUCGAUCGUCAAAUAUGGGCAUGGGGGCGAAAGACUAAUCGAACCUUCUAGUAGCUGGUUUCCG